rnacentral:rRNA from 1 species
UUGUCGAAUCCUGCAAAGCAGACGACCGCGAACUUGUGUAAUUGCCGGGCGUCGGGGAACGGGGGAGACUAAAGCCUCCCCUAACUCCUCGGCGCUCCUCGCGCACCGCGCGGACAACAACUCAACCCCGGCGCGGAAAGCGCCAAGGAAAACUCAAAAGGAUUGCCCACCUCCCCGUGCGCGGGGUGUGUUGUGGCGUCUGUCGUAACCAAAACGACUCUCGGCAACGGAUAUCUCGGCUCUCGCAUCGAUGAAGAACGUAGCGAAAUGCGAUACUUGGUGUGAAUUGCAGAAUCCCGUGAACCAUCGAGUCUUUGAACGCAAGUUGCGCCCGAAGCCAUUAGGCCGAGGGCACGCCUGCCUGGGCGUCACGCAUCGCGUCGCCACCCCCCUUUUGCGGGGCGGCGGAUACUGGCCUCCCGUCCCAAGAAGGCGCGGCUGGCCUAAAUUCGAGUCCUCGACGGGGGACGUCACGACAAGUGGUGGUUGAAUGCCUCAACUCGAUUCCUGUCGUGUUCAUUGGCCUCGUCGUAUCUCGGGCUCCUUGACCCUUCUUGCUUGCAUCUCGAUGCGAGCCUCGACCGCGACCCCA